CAGUUGGUACUAUAUCAACAGACACUUUAUACACCACGCGGAUAAACACAUUAUCUGUAAUGGGUGUGACAAUCAUGAAUAAAACUUUAGGAAAUCCUGUAUGGUAUGAGGGUAUCAAUAGCACAUUCAAAAAAUUGCUAAAGGAAACAGAAGGAUUAGAAGAGAUUGUGAUCAACAAUCAAGCAACCGAAUCUGGUGCAACAUCUACAUCAGCAAGUGCGAAUGGCAUAUGUUGUUUUAUAUAGCAGGUUAUAUAUUGUUAUAACUUGUUAUAGUUUAUAACUGUUAUUGUUCUGUGUUAAAUAUUUUUUUUUGUUUAUGUGAAUGUUUCUAUUAAAAUAGGGGUAAAUGUAACAAACAAUGCAACUCAAACAUCACCAGCAAAUACAAACAUCGUAGGAUUCAAAGUCGUAAAGAUCCAAUCAAAUCUCGAAAGAGGAAGAAGAAAAAGUUGGAGAUUGCAAUAGAGAAGAAAAGAAAGCAACCGAAGGCUCAAUAGGAGAAGGAGAGAAGAGCAUAAUUGCCUCUUUUCCCUUAGUAUAUACGUUUCUCCAACAUGAGAAGAAAAGAAAUCAACUGAAUCUCUCUCAACAUGA
rnacentral:lncRNA from 1 species